rnacentral:lncRNA from 1 species
GGCUGACGCCUGGGAUGAAUUAGGGCCCCUUUAGGUCUCUGUUCUUUUCCUCUUCGCACCACCCUUCGCAAUGGCCAGCAUGAGGUGCCCAGCCCAGGUCCCCACUGCUGACUAGAACAGAUCCUUUCUGCCAGGAGGGGGAUGUCCCAAAGAGUCCCAGAAUCCUGCACGUUUCCCUAGGGGCUUUCUCACUUCCCGGAGGCUGGGACGGAAAUGGUGGCGGCGCUCCUCCAAGCUUCUUGUGACCUCACAGUGCCUCUCAGUGGUCACACAGCACACUGCAAGCCGAGGCAUGUGCUGUGAGGACUGGGGACACCUCAGGAUGUAGUGCAGAGGCUGAAGCUGUCACUGACCCACUGCUGGUGCCUCCCUUUGACUUCCGAUGCCCUCUGUCUGCAGAUGGU